UUUUUUUUUUUUUUUUUUUUUUUUGCUUUCUCUCUCUCUCUCUCUUUCAUAAAUUAGAGAUGGAGUCUCACUAUAUUGCCCAGGCUAGUCUCAAAUUCCUGGCCUUAAGUGAUCCUCCCACCUCGUAAUCUACUUUUUGGGGACUAAUGAGGUGUAGCCAAAAUACAACAUGUGGGAGGCAGUAAAUGUAGAGAUUAGGAGUAGAUUUGGCAAGCCAGACUGCUGUGGUCACACCCCAGCACAGAAUUUAUGAAUCCGGCUCCUCUCCAUUCAAAUCUCUGCCAAAAAUCACCUCCUUCUGGAGGCCCACCAUGACUAUUCUAUUUAAUACAGCUUACCCCACUGCCCUAUCACUCUCUACACCAUUCUCAUUUUAUUAUGCUCAGAGUAUCUAUUAUUCUCCGAAGAAGCAUUUCUUGAAAUCUAGCUGGUAAUCUUCUUUCCUUAUUAGAAUGUAAGCUCCAUGAGAGCAGGGAUCUCUCUGUAUCAGAAUCUGUAUUGUGCUUGGUAGGUAGUUGACUCAAUAAACAUUUCUGAGUGAAUGAAUAUAUUAUAUGGAAAUUGAAGAAUACAAGCUUCUCCACAUAAGCACGUGGCAGAAAAGACAAAAAGAGAGGUAGAGAAAAAGACUCUCUUUUUAUUUAAGCUUCCCUCCCCUGUUGAAAUCCACUACUCCAAAAAAGGGAGACACUGACCAAAACAGAAACAAAAGAAACUAAUUCUUGGUUUUUAUGCUUCCUGAUAAUUUAAGGGAUUUUCAUAGAUAGGUUUGACAAAUGCAAUUUUUUUGCCUUAGGCACUGGCACUAGAAACUAUUAAUAAACAAGAUUGGCCUACAGAGGGUGCUAGUUCUCUUCAAAAAAGUAAAAGAAGUGCAUGCGCUUUUCCACUGGGUCUGGGAAAGAGUUUACAAAACAAGCAGAGACACAGCUUAGUAACAACUAAUGAAACGUCUAAAUUGCCACAUUUUGCUUCAUAAAAAAAAAAAAAGGAGGAAUCUGUGAAAGUGCCAGAGGCAUUCAAAGACGUCCCCUGAGGAAAAGAAUUGGCAUCAUUUUUCAAAUGCAAAGAGAAGCUAAGCUAAGAGAAGCAUCCAUUUAAAAAGUUUUUUUAGUUCUUAUUUUUGAUAGAGAAGGGGUAUCACUAUGUUGACUGGCCUGAUUUUGAACUCGGAGGCUCAAAGGAUCCUCUGCCCCUCAGAGUGCUUGGAUUGCAGGUGUGAGCUACCAAGAGAGGCAUCCAGAAGUUGAAAAGACUGAAUCUGUUGUGAAACAGAAGACCCAGGUCGGGGGAAGUUGUUGCCAGCCCUGGAGGGAGGAGAGGUGACAGGCCUCUGCCACAUUCCACCCCCACUUCAUGCUGGGACAUGGGGACCUGGAGACCUAGUGUGAGAUGCCUGUAGACUCUGUAACUGGAGGAGUGUUCUGACAGCUGUGUUUCCUGAAACUGAGUCUUGGUUUCAGAGUUCAGCAAGGGAUAUGCAUGGUGGUGGUAGCGUUGGGACAGAAGCGGGGCACUACUUGAGAGUUUUGAAAUAUGUAAUUUGUCACAGCAAGGACAAGGGCAAGUGAGCCUGGCAGGAGGGAGGAGCCUCUUCAAAGUCUGGAUCUGCAAAAAAAAUCUUCAGAAGAGGAAAUGAAACAAAUAAGCGAGUUCUUAAAAAAGCUUUUGAGCUCUCUAAAUGAGCAAUAGUUGAGGCAGCUUUGAUAGUCCAAAGCUAACCUCAAGGCUGGGAUUCUUUUAUUUAUUUAUUUAUUUAUUUAUUU
rnacentral:lncRNA from 1 species